AACGAACGCUGGCGGCAUGCCUAACACAUGCAAGUCGAACGAGAUCUUCGGGUCUAGUGGCGCACGGGUGCGUAACGCGUGGGAAUCUGCCCUUUGGUUCGGAUUAACAGUUGGAAACGACUGCUCAUACCGGAUGAUGACGAAAGUCCAAAGAUUUAUCGCCAGAGGAUGAGCCCGCGUAGGAUUAGCUAGUUGGUGGGGUAAAGGCGCACCAAGGCGACGAUCCUUAGCUGGUCUGAGAGGAUGAUCAGCCACACUGGGACUGAGACACGGCCCAGACUCCUACGGGAGGCAGCAGUGGGGAAUAUUGGACAAUGGGCGAAGGCCUGAUCCAGCAAUGCCGCGUGAGUGAUGAAGGCCUUAGGGUUGUAAAGCUCUUUUACCCGGGAUGAUAAUGACAGUACCGGGAGAGUAAGCUCCGGCUAACUCCGUGCCAGCCGCCGCCGUAA
rnacentral:rRNA from 1 species